UGGCAGAGAACAUGCGUGAUUUUGGGGUUAAACAGGGGAUUUCUGCAAAGAAAAAAAUCAUGAUUCUCAGGUAAAAUUCGGUGUAGUUGAAGGGAAAAUGCAUGAUUUUCGGGUUAAAUGGGGGAUUUCGGAAGAGAAAAUGCGUGUUGUUUGAGAUAAACGGGGGAUUUUUGUAGAGCGAAUGCAUGAUUUUCACGUUAAAUGGGGGAUUUUCCAAGAGAAAAUGUGUAAUUUCCAGGUUAAAUGGGGGGUUUUGGAAGAGAAAAUGUGUGACUUUUGGUUAAAUGGGGGGUUUUCCAGAGAAAAUGCAUGACUUUCUGUUAAAUGGAGGAUUUUUUGGUAAAAAUGGCGUGGUUUCCAG
ensembl:lncRNA